rfam:Heligmosomoides polygyrus genome assembly, scaffold: HPBE_scaffold0002060
GCGCUGGUGGUGUAAUGGCGUAGAGCAUUCCCGCCCGGUCAGAGGGAGGUACGGGUUCGAGUCCCGCCUGGCGCU